UCGAAUGGGAAGAUUCAGCGUCAGCGGCGCUAACUCGGCGGAUCGUGCGUCGUCUCGGAUUUCGGUCUUGGGACGGCGYGUUCUUUCCAUGCCUUGUUUGGCGUCGUCGUCGUGCACUUCUUYCCUAGUAGAACGUCGCGACCCGUUGGGUGCCGGUCUACGGUCCGAGCGGUAGACUGUCGCGUCGCUUCGGCGCACGCGGCAGACCCUCGGUCACCCGGCCGGCUGCCCGGCGGUCGAACAUAUAAGGUAUCUUGCCGCAAUUAUCGAACUGCGUCGGGCCCGUCGCAAGCGAGGCCAGUGUCUUACGGAGUUACCGGACCUGGUGCCGUACCCGUGGCUGGCCAGCUGUUGGCAGACGGAGUCCUUUGACGGGCAAUACACAAUGAUACCGGUCUGCGACGCUACUGCUUUGGGUACU
rnacentral:rRNA from 1 species